rnacentral:rRNA from 1 species
UACGAAGGGGGCUAGCGUUGUUCGGAAUUACUGGGCGUAAAGCGCGUGUAGGCGGGCCGUUAAGUCGGGGGUGAAAGCCCAGAGCUCAACUCUGGAACUGCCUUCGAUACUGGCGGCCUGGAGCAUGAUAGAGGCGAGUGGAAUUGCGAGUGUAGAGGUGAAAUUCGUAGAUAUUCGCAGGAACGCCAGUGGCGAAGGCGACUCGCUGGAGCAUUGCUGACGCUGAGACGCGAAAGCGUGGGGAGCAAACAGG